CAGGGGGGGCAAGCGUUGUUCGGAAUUACUGGGCGUAAAGGGUUCGUAGGUGGCUACCUAAGUCAGACGUGAAAUCCCUCAGCUUAACUGGGGAACUGCGUCUGAUACUGGGUGGCUUGAGUGCAGGAGAGGAACGCGGAAUUCCAGGUGUAGCGGUGAAAUGCGUAGAUAUCUGGAGGAACACCGGUGGCGAAGGCGGCGUUCUGGACUGUAACUGACACUGAUGAACGAAAGCCAGGGGAGCAAACGGGAUUAGAUACCCCGGUAGUCCUGGCCCUAAACGAUGAAUGCUUGGUGUGGCGGGUAUCGAUCCCUGCCGUGCCGCAGUUAAUGCGAUAAGCAUUCCGCCUGGGGAGUACGGUCGCAAGGCUG
rnacentral:rRNA from 1 species